rnacentral:hammerhead_ribozyme from 1 species
AUACUGACGAGUCCAAAAUAGGACGAAAUGCGCGUCCUGGAU